rnacentral:rRNA from 1 species
UACGGAGGGUGUAAGCGUUAUCCGGAUUCACUGGGUUUAAAGGGUGCGUAGGCGGGUUGGUAAGUCCGUGGUGAAAUCCCCAAGCUUAACUUGGGAACUGCCGUGGAUACUAUCAAUCUUGAAUAUCGUGGAGGUAAGCGGAAUAUGUCAUGUAGCGGUGAAAUGCUUAGAUAUGACAUAGAACACCAAUUGCGUAGGCAGCUUACUACACGAUCAUUGACGCUGAGGCACGAAAGCGUGGGGAGCAAACAGG